GUGCCAGCCGCCGCGGUAAUACGGAGGGUGCAAGCGUUGUCCGGAAUCAUUGGGUGUAAAGGGUACGCAGGCGGGCGUCUGCGUCCGGGGUGAAAUCCUGCCGCUUAACGGUAGAAGGGCCUCGGAUACGAGACGUCUUGAGACCAGCAGAGGCUGGCGGAAUUCGUGGUGUAGCGGUGAAAUGCAUAGAUAUCACGAAGAACACCAGUGGCGAAAGCGGCCGGCUGGGCUGGAUCUGACGCUGAGGUACGAAAGCGUGGGGAGCGAACAGGAUUAGAUACCCGAGUAGUCC
rnacentral:rRNA from 1 species